rnacentral:tRNA from 2 species
GGUUAGUUGGCUGAGAGGGGAAGCGACGGACUGUUAAUCCGUGUCUUAGGACAAGGCAGGUUCGAUACCUGCACUAACCG